rnacentral:rRNA from 1 species
CAGCCGCCGCGGUAAAACGGAGGGUGCAAGCGUUAUCCGGAUUCACUGGGUUUAAAGGGUGCGUAGGCGGGCAGGUAAGUCAGCGGUGAAAUCUUCGAGCUUAACUCGGAAACUGCCGUUGAUACUAUCUGUCUUGAAUAACGUUGAGGUGAGCGGAAUAUGUCAUGUAGCGGUGUAAUGCUUAGAUAUGACAUAGAACACCGAUUGCGAAGGCAGCUCACUAAACGCUCAUUGACGCUGAGGCACGAAAGCGUGGGGAUCAAACAGGAUUAGAUACCCCAGUAGUCCCUGUCUCUUAUAU